GCCCCGAGCCGCGGAACCAGGGCUGUGGUGCACUCGGAUCACGGGCCUCUUAGCCGCGUGCAGCUGCACGGGCGCAGCCGCCGCUAAUUUGUAGCAGGAUGGGGCUCCGGUUCUAUUCCGCAUGCAGGGGGAGAGGGCCUGUCACAGACGGACCUUGGGCCUGGGAAGUUUGUCUCCAGCGUCUGCGGGGGUGCAGCGGCCUGAGUUCUAAGCGCAGAUUGAAACUACAGGUUCAAGCCUUUGACGCUGGAAUGCUGUGAUGCUGGUAUUUUGACUUAACAACUUUCACGCUACAGCUUACAAUGCACGUGUGCCUGUAAUGAGGUCAGGUAUUAUUAUAUAACUUAGUAGCAAUCAUGCGCCCCUGCACCUGCCCAGGAGUCAGUGUGGUCCACGGUGCUGGUGGGGAAAGAGUGGUGCGGCGGCUGCACUGAUUUCAUCUCUCCAUUUCAUCCUCACAGCCCUGAAGUCUAUAGAAACUAUUCUUAUUUUACAGGUAAAGCAUCAGGUUAGGUAGUGGCCUGAGACACAAUCACGUAUGCUUUUGGUGGGGGGAGGGACCCCCAAAAUCCCCAGAAUCAUCAUCUGGAGGGUGUGCCUCUUGAAGGACAGGCUUCCCCAGCUAGGUGAGUGUUCUAGGAACCCAUCUGUGUCAGUGUGCCAGGUGGCGUGGUGAGAGGCUAUGUUCAGCUUUAGUGAACUUUUUUUGAAGACUCAGCGUGUUUUCCUGGGUGGUGGGUGAUUUAGGGGUGCACCUGUCCACACCACUCUGAGUGUUCAGCAGGAAGAGAUGUGGCCUCUUCAAAGUCAUUUCUCUGUUGAGGUUUAGUGUCCUGGUGUAACAAAUAUUUAAACAGACGAGGCCAGUUUGGGGGCUGGGGGGCGACACUAGAGUUAUUUAAUAAUGUAAGUUCUUCACAGUAUAAUGAACCUACAGAAGUUUCCAAAAUUUGGCACAAUGGGAACAUUUGUCAGCAUUUGGGGAUUUUUAAUUUUUUAUUAUUUUUUUUAGUAGCAUAAUGUAAGAAGGGAUUAAAGGAUCCAGUGGUGUUAGACUGUUAGGAUAGGAAAGCACUGUAGGUAAUGGGGAAAGUUUUCAUAUGGGGAGAAAAUGUGACUGCAGCAAUAUGUGCUGUGAAAGAACAACCUAGUAUGUGCUAGAAAUUCUUUCUGUUGUCCAGCUCAGUGUCUACAAAUAUCCCAUUUUCCUGAAAUCUUAAAUA